rnacentral:lncRNA from 1 species
GAGGAAAUGAUCCUAAAAGGAUAAAGAAAAUUGGGGCUAAAGUUCCCUGCUCACCUCCUAACAGAGAUUGAGCAGGUAUCUGUGAAAACAUCCUUUAAAAAAGCAGUUAGUUUUCCAUGUCAUGAUGGCUGCUCCUGAAGAAGUUAAAAUGUGCUGGUGUUGGCUCAGGAGUGAUCGUCACCCACAGGAAAUUAACUGGAGGAAGAUUCUAGGAGGCUCAGUGCUAUGCAGGAGCCUGUUACCACAGCCACCAAUAAGCUAACAGCGGAAGCUGCUGCCUAAAACUAUUCUUUUUAACAUCCAAGAUUUUGAAAAUAGUUCAUCCUUUCACUAUGCUAUUAAUAAAAAUUCAUAAUACAAUUUCAUUCUCAAUUUAUCCAAUAUUUUAGGGUAUGGUAGAUAAUGGCAGUCCUUUAGAAUUGGUUAUCCUUUUAUUCUUCAUCUGUAGCUGUUUAUGUGAUGGUAAAAACUUGCUCAUGUUAGGUAGGGCAUAUAUGAUUACUUCUUCUGUCUGAAUAAGAAUAUUUUAAGUCAUUUGCUACAGAGAAAGAAAGAUCAUCAAGUGUCAUUCCUGAGCUAUAGGGCAACAUGAAGUAAUUUGCUGAAUUGUUUAUUAACAUUAUUGCCACUGUUAUGACUGGAUGAAAGAACAGAUACUCAUUCUUGACAGCCCUUGAUGGGGUUUAUGGAUGAAGUACAUGUGUCAGUACAUCCCAGAGUCUUGUAUAACUUUAGACUCUACUGUUCUUUAUCACAACCUGACUUGUAUUAACCAAUAUUUAUGGAAAACUACUUAAAGUCCAUGUCAGAUGAUUUUAUUACAGACUUCCCCCGCUUCUCUGGAAGUAU